GGGGCCUUAGUUUAGUUGGCUAGAACGCUUCAUUUGCAAUGAAGAGGUCGUGGGUUCGAAUCCCACAGGCUCCA
rnacentral:tRNA from 1 species